rnacentral:piRNA from 1 species
UCCUAAUUCGAUAUACUUUAU